UCCCAGCACGGAGUUGCACUGCAUCAGCAAAAGCCGCCAGGGAGGCCCUGGCCCUCAGUUGAGCCAAUCGCCUACACAAAGCGUCCUCUGUGGUGCAGACUUGCUGACAAGCACCACCCUGUGUUUUGGGGAUGAACCAAAUCUUCAUGACAUUAGACCAGUGGAUUCCUGGCUCUGAAAACUGACACGAAAAGUUCCCCUGCUCUGCCAGCCCGCUCAUCCGGGGCCCACCUCUGCAGGCCGGAAAUGGAGUUUGGCCGGCCGGAAGUCUAAGAGUUACUUCCGGUGCCCAGACACCGCCACCCCAGUACAGCUGAGAGUCUCGAGUCUCCUGACCUCUCUUCAUUUUCCCAUCACAAUGAACUUCAGGUGAAGGGCGAGGUAUUCGUGCCUACAAAGAUCUACUAACGACCUUCUUGGUGUUUAAACGCAGACUGUCUGGUCCACGUGUCUUAACCUGCGCCCUGAACCCAAAUACGGACAACGAGAAGGUGGCGGUGAGGAUUUGGUGGCACAUGGGAGAUGGCUUGCUUCACUCCAUAUGCCAAAUAGUUCUGCAUCCCUGUCAUAGUUCCGCCAGGACAGACCUUUGCAGGCAAUGGUGAUCCAGGGAAGCAAAGACGGAUGCCCAGUCACCUAGAGAAGCUUGGAGAAAGCAGCAUUCAGAGAACAACUAUCUGGUGGCCAAGGUUGAAGGUCCACACUGGUCCAUGUGGCAGCAGAAGAGUCUUGGAUAAACCACAAGAAAAAGACAGAAAAAGUUCUCAAAUAAUUGCAAGCACUUGUAUUACUCAGGGCCCUUGGGUUGCAAACAACAGAAAUAAAUUCUGGA